rnacentral:rRNA from 1 species
UACGGGGGGGGCGGAGCGUUGUUCGGAAUCACUGGGCGUAAAGGGCGCGUAGGCGGCCCGCACAAGUCUGCGGUGAAAACCCCCGGCUUAACCGGGGGCCGGCCGUGGAAACUGUCGGGCUGGAGGCUGGGAGAGGGCAGCGGAAUUCCCGGUGUAGCGGUGAAAUGCGUAGAGAUCGGGAGGAACACCGGCGGCGAAGGCGGCUGCCUG